rnacentral:rRNA from 2 species
UGGUGAUGAUGGCGGAGAGGUCACACCCGUUCCCAUGCCGAACACGGAAGUUAAGCUCUUCAGCGCCGAUGGUAGUCGGGGGUUUCCCCCUGUGAGAGUAGGACAUCGCCAGGCA